UGGGGAAUAUUGCACAAUGGGCGCAAGCCUGAUGCAGCAACGCCGCGUGAACGAUGAAGGUAUUCGGAUCGUAAAGUUCUGUUGCAGGGGAAGAUAAUGACGGUACCCUGUGAGGAAGCCCCGGCUAACUACGUGCCAGCAGCCGCGGUAAUACGUAGGGGGCUAGCGUUAUCCGGAUUUACUGGGCGUAAAGGGUGCGUAGGUGGUCUUUCAAGUCGGUGGUUAAAGGCUACGGCUCAACCGUAGUUAGCCUCCGAAACUGGAAGACUUGAGUGCAGGAGAGGAAAGUGGAAUUCCCAGUGUAGCGGUGAAAUGCGUAGAUAUUGGGAGGAACACCAGUAGCGAAGGCGGCUUUCUGGACUGCAACUGACACUGAGGCACGAAAGCGUGGGUAGCAAACAGG
rnacentral:rRNA from 1 species